UACAGCCAUAUCAUAUUGAAACACUAGUUCUCAUCUGAUCACUGAAGUUAAGCAAUGUCAAGGCUGGUCAGUAGCUGGAUGGAUGACUGCUUGAGAAUAGCAGGUACUGUAAG